rnacentral:misc_RNA from 1 species
GGAAAAUUCUGAAGACAUUUUUAAUGGGAAAAUACUUGCCUAGACUAAGUGUAUGGCCCCCAUCCCAUACACCAAUCCAAUGAAAAUCAUCCUUUCAUGAUUUUAGAUAGAACCUACAUGUUUUUAUCUUAUGUGUUAUCCAUGUAUUGUGUCGGUGCAUAUAUUUGGUGUAGGCAAGUCAAAUGCUUGUUAAUAUUUGUUUAAGCUAAACAUUAAAGCUGGUAUUUAAGAAAAUUGUAAGCAUUAGAAAUUAGAAUAGCUAUAUUGUUUAAGGCUUGGUAAUUUUGCUGUUAAAAAUGUAUAUGACAUUAUCUACAAUGAAAUGAUAUCAAUGAAAAUAUAGUUAUUCUAGUCAUCAAGGCUUUUGCCUGCAGGUCCAUAUAUUUCUAAUCAGGAGUCGUUGUAACUUCUACAUUUUUUAAAUUCUGGGGACUAUAAUUUCAUAA